AUGGCGGACCAGCACUGGGUACCGAGCGCCGGAGCGUCUGGGUCCCUCCCGCCCCCGGGCCCGGGGCCCGCGUGGUGGGGGAGGGCGGUUCGCUCUCGGGGGCGGGGGAGCCGUUGCGUAGGGAGGUUUGUUUGGUUCGCAGCAGGGCGCUCCCCCGGGAGCCGCUGCGUGCAAGGGGAGGCUGGGAGGCGCGCGGCUGGCAGGAUGCUCCCGGGCCCGGGUCGGCGCGUGUGCGAGUGUGUGCACGGUGGGGAGGUGCAGGGCGUGUGCACGGCACGGGCUGGACGCGCGUCGGGGCGGGCGCCGGUCGGGGCUGCACGGAGGGCUGGCGCCGCGGGGCCAAAACGCCGCGCGACCCCGGGGCCCAGGCGCCGCAGGGCGCGCGCGGAGCGAACCGGGCGGACGUUGCGCCCCGCGGCCCAGCGCGCUUCCACCGAGCUGCAGCGCCCACGGACCGGCAAGGAGGUCGCCCGAGCCCCCGAGACCUGCACGCGCCCGGGCCGGGGGAGCGCGCGCGCCCGCCCGCUCGCACCCCGGCGCGCUCCCCGCGCAGUCUGCGGAACCACAACGCGAGCGGGUAUUAAGGGGGAAGGACGGGGCGUGGCCUGCCCGGGACGAACCAAUGGGCCGGGGAGGGGCGCGCGGGGGCGGAGCUCGGGUGCAGGGCGCCGAUUGGCCGGCUCGCCCUCCGGUAUGCAGAUGCGGCGGGGUCACGUGGCAGGGGCCGGGACGACUUCCUGUUGGAGGCCAACGCGGGGCGGGGAAGGGGCGGCCGCAGGUCCCCCGGCGGCGGCCGCGGGCCCGGGCAGAGCGAGCGGCGUCGCCUCGAACCGCUCUGCCUCUCGUCACGUUAAGCCUCCAUUUGGGUUGUCUGCUCGGUGGCGUCGAGGCACGAGCUGCAGAUUGUGGACUCAAAAUGGUGCUCCGUGGACGUCCGGCCGGAGCCUCCGCCUGGAAGGAGCCGCGAGCCGGGGCGCCGGGCUGGCCCCCCCCGCAUUGUGUUCCCGAGGGGCCCGGCCGCGGCCGGCAUCGGGGCCAGGCCGGGAGGGCCACCGGGUGCGCGCCGCUGCGAGCCCGAGCGGAGCGGGAGCCGCCGAGGGAUGGUCGCGCGCGAGUGACUCCCUCACGGUUAGAAUUAACGACGAGGGCGAGCGGAGACCCUGGAAACGUGGCUUGAGCGACCUCAGCACACGGUGACG
rnacentral:lncRNA from 1 species